UAUAUCCGGUGUAAAUACUUUAGUUUGGUUGAUUUUUUUUUUUUUGGUGUGCGUCGCCGACUUUUUGAAGUGAAAAUAAUGAUCUAGAACAAUUGCGCAUUUCACGCACGCUGAACCAUGAUAGGCAGAGUCCUUCACAACAACAACAAAAACUCAGUUGUUUUCCCUUUCUGUGUUUGUUUGUUUUUCUUCGUCCUGUGCUGUGCUGUCAGGGGUGGUGCUGUUCUGGACGCAGCAGUCUUCACAGAAACGCAUCGUUACUGUCCUCUCGUUCUAGUCAGCGGCACCAGGGCCCUGGUCGGCCCCAUACGGAGGAAUGAGAAAGCUCUCAUUGAUAAGCAGUAAUGAGAAGAUGAUGGGAAAGAAUUGUUGAGAAAUGUGCCGAGGUUUAGUUCCUUGGUUUCACCGACCCUCUUCCUCCCUUCUGCUUAAUCACAAAUUAUUCAAUUAAAUAUGGUUCAGUCCCAAAUGGCACCCUAUUCCCUAUGUAGUGCAUUACAUUUUUACCAUUUCCCCUAGGAGAAUACUGGGCUAUUUGGAACACUACCUAUAUCUCCUCCAGCAUCAGUACAGCUACUCCCUGUCCCAGACGUUUCCAUGCUAUUCUACUAAUACAGUUAAAUACAGUUUAAUCACAGUCACUGCAAUUAGUCCUAGCAGUGUGUCCAGACCCCCCCCCCCCCCCCCCCCCACACACAUCUAUACUAUCCAUCGGUCAAUGCCAGGGACAAUGAGUCAA
rnacentral:lncRNA from 8 species